rnacentral:lncRNA from 1 species
GGCUAGAAUGGAAGGAGAAACAUACAUAAGAAAUUCUACUACAUACUUCUUCACUUUUGCUCUCAUCCAUUACACUGGGCCUUCAAGCUUCUUCAAUUCGCAUCUAGCCUCUUUGGAGCUAUACUGACGGGGAAGAAUAAGUGGUCUUCCACUGGAUUGUUGUAUCUCUGAGAGCGGCCGCCAGUAGCCUUGCACGUGGAGGGAUUAUAUAAAAUAGGCGCUCGAUAGAUCUUUAUUAUUUAGAUCACAAAGGGCUUCAUACUUGCA